CCCCUGCCCUCUCGUAUCUUAUCCAUUUCUCUCGCUCUGGCGAUGGCGACGGCGACGGACCGACUUCUGCGGAGACGGCGCGGCGAGGCGGGGCAGGUGCUGCGGAGGAUGGAGGACGCCGGAGCAGAGCACGACAGCUCCCGCCUUCGCUGCUGUCCGCGCGCGCCCGCGUGGUCGCCUCCGUCCGCGCCGAAGAGCUGCUGUCCGCGCGCGCCUCGCCUCCGUCCGCGCGCGCCUCGCCUCCGUCCGCGCCGGAGCGCUGCUGUCCACGCGCGGCUCACAUUGCUUAUGGUUCUAACUCUAUGGGACAAUCUGAAGUUAUUUGGCUCAUCGUUGUGUCACAAGUUUCUGACAUCACCGUGCCUGUACACCAUCGACUUCACUGGAAAUAUGUCUGCACGUACUUCAUCGUCCGCCGGAACUUUGUCUGACCUGAGGUACGUACUACAGUCUCAUGAAUUUGAAUGUGUCAUCAACUAUUACUUAUUAGUUCUGUAUAUGUUCUUUAGUAUAUUGUAAGCUCUGAACAAGACAAUGCCUAAAAGGGUCAGACAUUGCUUUUCCGUGCCAUUCAGUUUUUUCAGUUGAGUUGGCUACUUAAUUUUCCACUAUGUUAAUUCUUUCGUUUGCAAUUUCUCAUUGGUGUUCAUGUAAUUACCCUGCAACCUUUCUUAGUAGUGCCUAACAUUUGAUUGUUGUGCUUACAUAGAACUGGAACUUUUUUGGAUUUUGUAAGGCUGCGGAUAACAAGCCGGUGAGAGCUUAUGGUUCAGUUAGAACCUACCUCUUUCUCUAUCCUAAUGCGAUUUAUAAUGUUUUAUUCUGGUGAGCAUAUGAGACAUUGCUUAUGGUUCUAACUCUAUGGGACAAUCUGAAGUUAUUUGUCUCAUCGUUGUGCCACAAGUUUCUGACAUCACCGUGCCUGUACACCAUCGACUUCACUGGAAAUAUGUCUGCACGUACUUCAUCGUCCGCCGGAACUUUGUCUGACCUAAGGUACGUACUGCAGUCUCAUGAAUUUGAAUGUGUCAUCAACUAUUACUUAUUAGUUCUGUAUAUGUUCUUUAGUAUAUUGUAAGCUCUGAACAAGACAAUGCCUAAAAGGGUCAGACAUUGCUUUUCCGUGCCAUUCAGUUUUUUCAGUUGAGUUGGCUACUUAAUUUUCCACUAUGUUAAUUCUUUCGUUUGCAAUUUCUCAUUGGUGUUCAUGUAAUUACCCUGCAACCUUUCUUAGUAGUGCCUAACAUUUGAUUGUUGUGCUUACAUAGAACUGGAACUUUUUUGGAUUUUGUAAGGCUGUGGAUAACAAGCCGGUGCGAGCUUAUGGUUCAGUUAGAACCUACCUCUUUCUCUAUCCUAAUGCGAUUUAUAAUGUUUUAUUCUGGUGAGCAUAUGAGACAUUGCUUAUGGUUCUAACUCUAUGGGACAAUCUGAAGUUAUUUGUCUCAUCGUUGUGCCACAAGUUUCUGACAUCACCGUGCCUGUACACCAUCGACUUCACUGGAAAUAUGUCUGCACGUACUUCAUCGUCCGCCGGAACUUUGUCUGACCUGAGGUACGUACUGCAGUCUCAUGAAUUUGAAUGUGUCAUAAACUAUUACUUAUUAGUUCUGUAUAUGUUCUUUAGUAUAUUGUAAGCUCUGAACAAGACAAUGCCUAAAAGGGUCAGACAUUGCUUUUCCGUGCCAUUCAGUUUUUUCAAUUGAGUUGGCUACUUAAUUUUCCACUAUGUUAAUUCUUUCGUUUGCAAUUUCUCAUUGGUGUUCAUGUAAUUACCCUGCAGCCUUUCUUAGUAGUGCCUAACAUUUGAUUGUUGUGCUUACAUAGAACUGGAAGUUUUUUGGAUUUUGUAAGGCUGCGGAUAACAAGCCGGUGCGAGCUUAUGGUUCAGUUAGAACCUACCUCUUUCUCUAUCCUAAUGCGAUUUAUAAUGUUUUAUUCUGGUGAGCAUAUGAGGCUGCAGUACUAGGUUGAUGCUCAGAAGUUAAAUUGCUUGCUGAUUAAUUUGCGUCAUAUUAUUCACAUCAAACAGCAGCAAUUUUCUUAUCCAAGUUCAUUUGAUUUUGUAGGCAGGGGGAUUCAAUACCAAGAUUUAUGAUUUGGCAUAAGUGAGAUGACAUAUAGUCAAUGUUUUGAAACUGAUGUAUCUGUGACAAAAAUAUUGAAGUUAUGGACAUGUUGAUAAUUGGUUAUCAAGCAAAGGCAUUUCCUACAUAUUGAGGGGUAUGCGUGAUAUCUUUUCUAAGGCCAUGAAAUAUUUUCAGGAAGCUUUAGAAUGCUGGUGGCUGAUGGGGAUUAUAAGAACUUAAAUGCCAGAGAAGUCGUGCUCCCCUUUACGACGAAGACUCAGACUUGAAGUCCCUUAUGUGCUUGAUACAAACGCCUCCCUUUUUUGUACUUAGAAUGACUGGUGUCUGACACAAACUCACUAUUAUAAUCAAGAGUCAAGACGAUUGUUGUGCAAUACGACAGGCGAAACCUAAUUCAUGGCAUCACUCUCCCCGAGGCUACCACACCUUGCUGGCGUGCGGUCCAUCAUGGUGGCAGUGGAUGGGCUCUGGGCGGUCAUCAUGACGGAGAUGAGGCGGAUCUUACGCAAUAUUGUACGUGUUGUCAUGGGGUUGUACGUGAUGCGAUCCCGUUGCAACGCACGGGCACUUUUGCUAGUGUUCAAAGGUUAAAAUACCAGGAAUCACAGGAGAAAAAAAAGGAGGCCACGAUCUGGAAAGGCACGAGGUGCAAGUCAAACAACGACUCAGACAAGGACCUCGCAUCAAGCCACCGCCUCGCGCCAUCCGUUCCUGGCGCCUGACUAUGAGCCGCCCCUGUCUUGUGCCCUCACAGCGGCCUCUGCCCUCGCUGAUGUUGACCCGCCGCUGUUGAGUCCCGCUCCAAGCCGUCAUGAUGUGCCGUGCCGCCGCAAGUCGCGAGUCGCCUGCAACGGCAAACCACCUCCGCGUGGCCGUGCUGAACCGGCCACAGUCGCACCUCUCCAAUCCGCCGCUGUGGAGGACGCACUUCGUUGACUCGCCGUGACUUGAGUCGCUGGGGGUCUCUUCACCUGCAGCCGCACUGAGCCGGCCCGGUUGAACGACUCGCCUCCAUCUUCACUUCCGUUAUUGUGGCCUGCAGCUCCGCGUCAAAGUCACCUAUCUCUGUGCCAUACCAAUGAGCCGAGCUGCCUAAUGACCGAUGGACAUGCACCAAGGAUACAAGUUGAUGGUCCGUUCAACUCAUUUGCAAAAAUGUGCAUGCACAAUCAUCUGUUAGGCAGAAUUGAUCAAUCAGACUAGGUGGAGUACUAUUUCCUGGCAGAAAAGACCAAGGCCUCUCUGCCUUGUUUCAUUGUUGAGCUGCCACUCUAGUGUUGCCUAUGACGGACAACUACUAUUGGGAGCAAGAAAAGCAAUUCAAGUUACAACAGUACUAGACAAAGGAGGGUCACGUGGGUGUUGUGCUACAUUGCAUCAUCAGAGCUCAAAGCAUGCAUAUACUAUUUAGCAUUAUCUGGCACCAGCAGCUGCGUUCAUCUGGCAAAAACAAAACCAGGUG